rnacentral:rRNA from 2 species
GGCGUGCCUAAUACAUGCAAGUCGAACGAACUCUGGUAUUGAUUGGUGCUUGCAUCAUGAUUUACAUUUGAGUGAGUGGCGAACUGGUGAGUAACACGUGGGAAACCUGCCCAGAAGCGGGGGAUAACACCUGGAAACAGAUGCUAAUACCGCAUAACAACUUGGACCGCAUGGUCCGAGUUUGAAAGAUGGCUUCGGCUAUCACUUUUGGAUGGUCCCGCGGCGUAUUAGCUAGAUGGUGAGGUAACGGCUCACCAUGGCAAUGAUACGUAGCCGACCUGAGAGGGUAAUCGGCCACAUUGGGACUGAGACACGGCCCAAACUCCUACGGGAGGCAGCAGUAGGGAAUCUUCCACAAUGGACGAAAGUCUGAUGGAGCAACGCCGCGUGAGUGAAGAAGGGUUUCGGCUCGUAAAACUCUGUUGUUAAAGAAGAACAUAUCUGAGAGUAACUGUUCAGGUAUUGACGGUAUUUAACCAGAAAGCCACGGCUAACUACGUGCCAGCAGCCGCGGUAAUACGUAGGUGGCAAGCGUUGUCCGGAUUUAUUGGGCGUAAAGCGAGCGCAGGCGGUUUUUUAAGUCUGAUGUGAAAGCCUUCGGCUCAACCGAAGAAGUGCAUCGGAAACUGGGAAACUUGAGUGCAGAAGAGGACAGUGGAACUCCAUGUGUAGCGGUGAAAUGCGUAGAUAUAUGGAAGAACACCAGUGGCGAAGGCGGCUGUCUGGUCUGUAACUGACGCUGAGGCUCGAAAGUAUGGGUAGCAAACAGGAUUAGAUACCCUGGUAGUCCAUACCGUAAACGAUGAAUGCUAAGUGUUGGAGGGUUUCCGCCCUUCAGUGCUGCAGCUAACGCAUUAAGCAUUCCGCCUGGGGAGUACGGCCGCAAGGCUGAAACUCAAAGGAAUUGACGGGGGGCCCGCACAAGCGGUGGAGCAUGUGGUUUAAUUCGAAGCUACGCGAAGAACCUUACCAGGUCUUGACAUACUAUGCAAAUCUAAGAGAUUAGACGUUCCCUUCGGGGACAUGGAUACAGGUGGUGCAUGGUUGUCGUCAGCUCGUGUCGUGAGAUGUUGGGUUAAGUCCCGCAACGAGCGCAACCCUUAUUAUCAGUUGCCAGCAUUAAGUUGGGCACUCUGGUGAGACUGCCGGUGACAAACCGGAGGAAGGUGGGGAUGACGUCAAAUCAUCAUGCCCCUUAUGACCUGGGCUACACACGUGCUACAAUGGAUGGUACAACGAGUUGCGAACUCGCGAGAGUAAGCUAAUCUCUUAAAGCCAUUCUCAGUUCGGAUUGUAGGCUGCAACUCGCCUACAUGAAGUCGGAAUCGCUAGUAAUCGCGGAUCAGCAUGCCGCGGUGAAUACGUUCCCGGGCCUUGUACACACCGCCCGUCACACCAUGAGAGUUUGUAACACCCAAAGUCGGUGGGGUAACCUUUUAGGAAC